UGAGGAACCUGCCCUGUAGACCGGAAUAACCAUGGGAAACUGUGGCUAAUGCCGGAUGAUCUCCGCAGUCCGCAUGGACUGCAGAGGAAAUGGUCAGCCGCUACAGGAUGGCCUCGCGGCCUAUCAGCUCGUUGGCGGGUAACGCCCACCAAGGCGACGACUGGUAGCUGGCGUGAGAGCGCGACCAGCCACACGUGGGACUGAGACACCGGCACGUA
rnacentral:rRNA from 1 species